rnacentral:sRNA from 1 species
GGGAGUGGUGAUCAAAACCCGGUUAAA